rnacentral:rRNA from 1 species
AUUGAACGCUGGCGGCAGGCCUAAUACAUGCAAGUCGAGCGAGCGGCGGACGGGUGAGUAAUGUCUGGGAAACUGCCUGAUGGAGGGGGAUAACUACUGGAAACGGUAGCUAAUACCGCAUACCAUCAGAUGUGCCCAGAUGGGAUUAGCUAGUAGGUGGGGUAACGGCUCACCUAGGCGACGAUCCCUAGCUGGUCUGAGAGGUUGACCAGCCAAACUGGAACGGAGACACGGUCCAGAGUCCUACGGGAGGCAGCGGUGGGGAAUAUUGCGCAAGGGGCGAAAGCCUGAUGGAGCCAGGCCGCGUGUGUGAAGAGGGCCUUCGGGUUGUAAAGCACUUUCAGAGGGGAGGCGUUACCCGCAGAAGAAGCACCGGCUAACUCCGUGCCAGCAGCCGCGGUAAUUC